UUUUCCCAUACUAAACGCAAAAAUGCAUCACAUAAUCAGUUCAAAGUGAAGUUAGAAGUAAAUUAACUCAUUAUUCAUUGGCCUAAAAGAAAUUAAUCUCAUGCUUCCAUUUAACAUCAAUGCAUGUUGUUAAAUAUGCCAGAAAACCUAACUUCUCCAAUUACAAUGUACAUAAGAAGAAGUUUUAGCUAAGAAUUUCCUGGCACUUCAUCUUGAUAAGUCUAAAAAGAUAAUGAGUAGAUGCUGAUUCAGAUUUUCUUCUUCAAGACCUUCUGUCAUGGAGCUCGGUGGAUUUGUUUUCUAUCCAAGUAACAACUCAUUAUGAUCUGCUGCUUCAUCUUACUAAAACAAAUUCUAUAGCUGUCUUGAUUUAUGAUUUGGCAAUGGAAAUCAGCUCAUAUGGUAACAACAGAAAGACAAGAAAGAAUAUGAUAGAUAAGAUCAACCUGAAAAGAAAAAAAAAGAAAAAAAGAUAUACUGGAUGUAAAGCACUUUGUGCAAGCAAAUGGCAAAAGGGAAUAUAAAUCAAAGAUUAGGUUUUUCUUUUCUUUUCCUUUCAUAGCUCUCCGUAAAUUGUUUCACUUCAAACUCAUCUCUAACAUGAAGAUCGAACUUAAUGAUCAAAAUUCAGAAGACAGCAACUGCAACAAGGGAAAGGAAAUAUGCAGCAGUGGAGGUGAUACUAAAAGCCCUUGGCCAUACAGGGUAAAGCUCACACCAGACAGUAUGCGAUGGGACAGCUUAAAGAUUUCUCCUUCAAGGGAAUUUGAGGAUAUCAUUUUGCAGAAUAUAUCUGCAGCUAGUCAUAAAGCUUUGGAAACUUGGCAGCCUAUUGAAAUAUCAAUUUAUGAUGUUGAUACUCAUGAAACUUAUAAAGUACACUUAGCAAAGAAAGAGUCCUUUUGGUUUGAACCAUUACCUGAUAUAGGCCAGAAACAGCAAAAAUCUGCAACUUCUGGUAUUAUAACUGCACCCAAGUCUUCAUAUGAAUCAAAGGAGAUGAUAGCAGAAAAUUUUGCUUAUUCUCUUCAACCUUUUAGACACAUUGUCAAGAAGAGAGGCCUUAGUUAUGAUCAAGAGAUAGGCUUAAACUGGUCCGGCAAUAGAAUUGUUAACAAUAUAGACUUCUCAGUUUUACAGGCACCAAGAUUUGGGUUGCAAGACAUCAGAUUUUGAGAGAUGAAAGAAGCAAACUUUCUUGGCUCAAGAGCAACAGAUGUUACAAGGUCGAUGCUAUGUGAUUGAUGACGAUUAAUAGGCAGUCCAUGUUUUACUUGCCUUGAUCCUUUGUCAUACAAUUUCCAAUUAUAGUUUAACUUGUAAG
rnacentral:lncRNA from 1 species